CCUGAUCCCAUCCCGAACUCAGUAGUGAAACCAUGCAUCGCCGAUGGUAGUGUGGGGUUUCCCCAUGUGAGAGUAGGUCAUCGUCAAGA
rnacentral:rRNA from 1 species